GCUGCUGCCCCAGGCUGCGGCGAGCCCCCGAGCGGCGCCGGCGCCGGGCUCAGCCCCGGGGCGGAGCUGGCGGCGGCGCGGAGCAGAGGAGGCGGCGGAGAGGAGGCGCCGCGGCCGCCGCCCAGAGCCGGGGCUGGCGCGGGGCAGCGAGGCGCGGGCGGCGGAGCGGCGGCAUGCGGCGGGGCCGGGGCGCAGGGCUGGCGGGGCUGGCCGCGCUGCUGCUGGUGGCUGUGGGCAGAGCCCAGGUGCAGCAGGAGCCGUCGGCAGAGACCACCGAGGACACCGGCAUCGCCAUCAGCUGCUCACACCCCAGCAUAGGGACAGGAGACUUCAUCUACUGGUACCGCCAGCUCCCGGGCCGAGGCCCCGCAUUCAUCACGAGCGGUCACAAAGGGUCCAGAGAGGUGCAGGACCCUCCGGGGCGGAUGUCGGUGGCGGCAGACCGCCGGUCCAGCGCCCUGUGGCUCGCCCGGCCCCGGCGCAGGGACGCGGCGGUGUAUUACUGCGCCGUGGGAGACACGGGGCUCGGAGCCGGGGCUGCGGCCGGGCACGAACCUCGGCGGCCGGCGCCGGGUGCGUGA